AUAAUAGGAACCACACGGUUUGAACAUUUUGCUUCCUCUCCAAGCACAAUCUGAAAACACACAUAAAAACUCACGGGCUCUAUUCAUAAGAGGGGGCUUCAUUACAAAUUUCAGGAGGGGGGCUGAAGAAACAGGGGAAUAUAACAAAAAAUAUAGAUAGAGAAAGCAUCAAUCGGAAAAGAAAGGCAGCAAAAAAUACUCUAACUGAAUCCGUCUCUUUCUUUCUGUUUAACCGUUGAUAACACCCAUUUUCCACCAUUAAAAGCAUCUCCAAAACUCCAAAAAUCAGUAGCCUUCGAUCAUCUCCUUUCUCAUUAUCCCCACCAUGAAAACCUCCAUUACAACAUCUUAUUCAUCACCAUUAAAAUCAUCUCUUGAAGCUCCAUGAAAAUCUACCAUAGAACAACCCCAAAAAUACCAAAACAGAUCCAACAUCAGUCCUCGAGGAAAGAAUUUCGAAUUGGUCGAGGUUCAUCGAGGUCGCCGGCGCGGUUCACUUUUCUAGUCAGCGCAAGCAGUAGGAUUUUCUUAAAGUUUCUAUGUUAACAUUAUAAAUUUGCUCUCCGUGAGGUAUGAGUUCAUUUACUACAGCUCGAGCAUGACUGAUAUCCCUAGACCAUUCCAGUCAGGACCGUUGCAUGCAUGAUCUGCUUGAAGGUACUUUUGUGUUUUGAGUCUAUUAUCCAUGUUGUCUUUUACUGUCUAGUAUGGUACAGUAGUAUUUAGUCUUUUAGUUGGUGUCAGUUUGUCGCAAUCUAGUUCAGUUUGUUGAGUCUUUUGUUAUCGUACUUCCUAUGAUGUAUUUGAAAAUCAAAAAAAAUUAUAAAUGAAAAAUCCAAAAGAUUUUGUUUCUUAGUUUA